UACUUAAAACAUGUCACUUUUGUCUUUGAGCUCCGAUUUGUCAUCAAGAUUUUAUUUUUGUAUUUGAUAGUGUACAAAUAACCUGUCGUAUUUCGUCCCAUAGGUAUAUAUGUUUUUCAUGUAUUUGUACCAGACGUUUAAAGUUUGAAGAACAAAUUUUCGCUUGUUUGCUGUCGCUAACAAAUUUGUUUAAUACAUCAAGACGGGAGUGGGCUUUGUUCAGCAUGUCCUUAUCCUCUUUUUUUGUGGCAUUGAUGAUCAAACGGAGAACUGAAAUAGUGGUUCUCUCAACCCUUCAUAACGACAGUAAGUCACCAUACACAGUGCUCUAAAAAAUAUAGCCGUUACAAACAGCAACAGCUCUGUCGGAAUGGCAUCAUCGCCAACAGAACUUUUCAGGCCACCGGAUCAGUCCAGAAAACUAUACAAUCUUCAACUGAGCAAAACCCAUCAAGAAUCGUCUCAAUCCGACAUCCGAAGCCCUGGGAAUGUUGAAAAAACAGCCGCGAUCACUGUUCAUCAUCCACAAGAACGUGAACAUGUUACCACUGAACGAGAAAUCGAUUCUAGCUCCAAUUCUGUGAAUUGUUUUGAUAAACCACCAAUUGAGAAUGUUAGAACAACAUCUCAGCUACAACAUAUCCGAAAAUCAAGCAAUUUCAGCAUGGCAAUCGAGAGAAAUGAAGCCGCGACUGUCCAGCAAAACUCCGGCGAGGCGCCGGCCAAUCGGGCGAUUUUUUGGACGCCCUCCGAUGGUAUUCGAGGUGGCGCAUCACCUGAGGUUGGUUGCCCACCUCAAGGCGCCCCUCAUACUAAAAGCCCAGCCCCAAUAGAUGACGGAGCCGCCGGCGCUCUACUGUUGAACUCCGACGACGGAGCUCCGGUGACAUUCGAGCUUCAAGACCAAUGCCAAAUUGUAGAGGAUCUCAACACGAAUACAACCAUGCAAAAAUUGCUAUAAAUUCAUUGCCAAUCUUGUCAAAUAUCAGUUCAAAGAAUUCAGGCGGCUGCGCGAUUUCCGGCAGCGGCGCCGCCACCGCGAAUUUCGACGAAAAUAAAACUUUUCCUAUGGGUUUUGAUCACGAUGCAACGAAGAACACAACAAUCCCAAAAGCCCCAUCGAAUUCACUCUCUAACGAUUCGAAUUUGGGAAUUAGGGUUCCGCUUCCACUUGCCGGAGGCGGCGAAGAGGCGGAGAUCCAAUUCAGAAAUUGUCAAUGACAAAUUGUUCAGAAUGAUGACAGGAAUCCAACCAUCCAAAAAGCCCCAUCAGGUAACGCUUCGAACCCUUCGAAUUUCAAUUCUAGGGUUUCCAAUUUGACUAGACAUGCUGACAGUGGUUGUGCCGGAGCUCCGGUGGCCAAAGAAAUUUCUUUUCCUUUCAAUGGUACUCCCCAGCAACCAAAUACACCUCAGGAACAAAAUUCUAAAGAAAACGACCAUCCCAUCAUUUCAAACGUUAAUACUAGUGUCGGAAUUCCCCAAAGAACCACCGGAAUCACCACUCCGUUGAACGCCCAAAGCAAUUCUAUAAACCAGAACGACCCACAUACAAAUACGAACAUUUUAAACCAAAAAACACAAUUUUUAGGCACCCCGAACUCAAAUUCCAAAAUUACAACUCCUACCAAUAGGCACGAAAACAGUGAAUUAAGGUCCGACGCUGUAUUAGUUAAUCAUGCCACUACUUCAGACACUCCAUGUACCUCCAAUGGUCCCAAAACUACCAAAUUCCCCAGUCCCAAACUUCCCCACCAUUUCAUCCAAUUUUGAAAAAUUCGACCCUAAAAUCACUAAAGAUCCUAUAGUUUCCCUAACCCCCAGUGCUAUACCUCCAAAAACUAAACCUCCCAACAAUCAACCCACCACUACUAACCACCCCCCUCCGCCCAUCAUAAUGCAAUCCUUAGCCACAAGACUUAGGAUUAGACAAGUCGUUACGGAAACCAAAAUAGACCUAUCACCUCCGAGAAGAGUUACAAAACAGGGAUGUCCGGCCAUCAUGUUUAAGAGAGAUGAUUACAUGAUUAAGAUGGCUGAAUCCUGUAAGUAUACACUCAUAGGCAAGUUUUACAGCCAUAUGCCCAAGAUGGAGGUUAUUCGAAAGAAAUUUAUUACCCAAACUGAACUAAGGGGCAAGGUCAAGAUUACCCACUUCAAUUCUAGACACAUAUACAUUGACCUUGAUAAUGAACAUGAUAGAGCCACCGUAUUAGAUAGCAAGCGUAUGUACAUUGACGGUGUCUUUAUGCGGUUUCAAGUUUGGACCCCUACUUUCGAUCCAAAUUAUGAAACCCCCAUUCUUCCUGUUUGGGUCAUACUCCCGGAGCUCCCAUGGCACUGCUUCCAUAAAGAAUUUGUUACGCUCUUGCUUGCGGACGUGGGACAAGUGUUGCACUUGGACAUGGCCUUUAUGCAAAAGACAAGGGGGAGCGUAGCGAAAGCAAAAGUCCAAAUGGACAUCACAAAGCCUAGAAUCCAAAGUGUUUGGAUUGGAUUCGAUGAAAAUGAUGAUCCAAAUGGAGAAGGUAGAUGGCAGGACAUCGAAUAUGAAGAUGUCCCCCUUUACUGUACCUAUUGCAAACACCAAGGACAUACUCCUCUUGCAUGCCCCAUCAGCAGAAGAGAUGCAGAACGCAACAAGGCCAAAGACAAGGAAGAAGAGCUAAACAAAGAUGCAUUGACAAAACACACAGGUAUGAUCUCUACUCCUAUUGUCUUAACUAAUGCUGUAAGUUUCAGGCAACAGGUACCACUAGAAGCAUCUACCACCACAUCUCAGGAGGAAAGAGGCAAGGCUAAGGAACAAUCAACCAAUCCAAACAAGAAUCAAAUUUCAAAUGAACAAUGGGAAACCCAAAAGAGAAGAAACUUCAAAGGUAAGACCCAAACUAUGCAAAACACCCAAAAGGUACAAGGAAACACUCAUCAGGUAUAUAAACCUACCCAAACCAAGAAUACAGGUACUAAUGCAAUUCAUGGACAUCGCGAGCGUCAAUCAGGUAUUGACUCAAUGCUCCCAAUCCCCCAUGGCUCCCCCAGUAGUUUUAAUGUAUUGAAUGUUUUAACUGCUGCUGCUGAAGUAGUUAAUGGAGGUGAGGAUGGUAGGUUUCAGGAGAGGCCAACUAACCUGCAGGAAGGGGUAUCCAAAGGGGGGGUUUUGUCUCAUGUUUUGCAUGAGAACCUUAUGGUUGACCGUAGGAAUGACUUUAGAGCUCCGGCUACCACUUCAUAUAUUCAACAUUCUUCUUCCCAGCAUGUUGAUAAAAGGGAUUUUGUUGAUGCUCAAAAAAUGGCCUCCAAACUGACCCCUACUGUGACCAUUGGAUGUGAGACUGCAGUUGGAUCUGGAAGGCUUUCAAGUCCUUCUUUGAGAACUGAGCAGCAGUAGUUCAGGAGUGUAAAUGUAGGGGCAAACCAGAGCCAAAAAAUGACUCAACAGGUUGCUCAGAGGCAUGUUUUGAGACAUGCUGGAGAUGUUAUUGAACUUGGUAAAACUGUAACUCCAGUUCAGGUCCAAAACAUGCAAUUGUUGAGACCUGCAGGUGCUCCUAUUCCCACCAAGGAAAUGACCAUUACUGCAGCCCCCUAUCAGCCUCAAAACUUUCAGGUUUUGGGACAUUUUCUAGAUACUGAACUGCAGGAAACCAUGCAUGUUUUGGGUGCUAAUUCAACUGAUACUUUAAAGGAAAAUAUGGUGUACAAUAAGGCUACCCAGAUGCAGGGAUCAAGACCUGCAGGUACAACUAUUUCCACUCAGGGAAUGGGCAACACUGCAGCCCCUAUUCUGCCUCAACAGUUGCAGGUUCUGAGACAUGUUUCAGCUGCAGGACUGGAGCAAAAAUUGCAUGGCUAACAGGUUCAAGUGCAACAUUAGAAACUUAUGGAAAUUCUUGUCUGGCACAUAGUGAAGACUUUGAAGUUAAGGAAGUUGAGGCAGUCUCGCAACUAUAUCUGUGUGUGUGCGUGUUUUGUGUUCUGCCUUGUCUAUGUCUAUAUAUGUACAUGCGUUUACCUGUCAGGGCAGUUAGCUAUAUGAGAAUUUACUUUUAAAAGUGCAAUAUGCAUUUAACAUGAGAAAUUAACUUUGAAUGCAAUUCGCAUUCAUUAUGUGCCAUGCAGUUAUGGGUCUUUGUAUAUGCUUCCAAGUACGAAGAGAUGGUUUCCAUUUUGCGAACAGAGACCCCUGGAAUUUGCUGCUGGUAACACAGCUUUCAUAUGCUUGCCUUCCAAUCUAAUGAUCGUUUCCAUGGUUGUGCACAACAUCAUGCGCAAUGCAAGAUAGGUUUUCUACAUAUCUUUUCACAUGUUCAGCAACAAUGUUACACCUGUAUAACUGUGUUUCCUUACAUGUACAGUGAACCAUUUUGAUAAAAAUGCUCUUUGGUUCGGCAUAUGAGAAUGAACGUGAGAGCUAACUGAAAAUAUUCAUUAAACUCUGAGCCUUAACGUGUUGUGAUGCUGCUGCUGAUUUUUUUAAUGUGGUGAAUUAAGAUUUCAAUA